rnacentral:ribozyme from 13 species
GAAAAGAAGAUGACAACAGACAGAAAAAAUUUGGUUAUUUUUUAUGUUCUUACACAAUUUCCUUUUCUUUUAUUUAUUUUU